rnacentral:rRNA from 1 species
AGUGGCGGACGGGUGAGUAACGCGUGAGAAUCUCCUUGGGGUCGGGGACAACCACUGGAAACGGUGGCUAAUACCGGAUAAGCCGAUUGGUGAAAGAUUUAUUGCCCGAAGAGGAGCUCGCGUCUGAUUAGCUAGUUGGUGAGGUAAGAGCUCACCAAGGCAGCGAUCAGUAGCUGGUCUGAGAGGACGAUCAGCCACACUGGGACUGAGACACGGCCCAGACUCCUACGGGAGGCAGCAGUGGGGAAUUUUCCGCAAUGGGCGAAAGCCUGACGGAGCAAGACCGCGUGAGGGAGGAAGGCUCUUGGGUUGUAAACCUCUUUUCUCAGGGAAGAAGAUCUGACGGUACCUGAGGAAUCAGCCUCGGCUAACUCCGUGCCAGCAGCCGCGGUAAUACGGAGGAGGCAAGCGUUAUCCGGAAUUAUUGGGCGUAAAGCGUCCGCAGGUGGCGAUUCAAGUCUGCUGUCAAAGCACGGGGCUUAACUCCGUAAAGGCAGUGGAAACUGAAUAGCUAGAGUGCCGUAGGGGUAGAGGGAAUUCCCGGUGUAGCGGUGAAAUGCGUAGAGAUCGGGAAGAACAUCGGUGGCGAAAGCGCUCUACUGGACGGCAACUGACACUCAGGGACGAAAGCUAGGGGAGCGAAUGGGAUUAGAUACCCC